GCGCUGAGGGGAGCGGGGCGGCUCUCUGUGGAUAAGGAGGGGACAGCGGACACGAGGCGGCCGCUCCGCGGGUCCUGGUGGUUUUUAGUCCCAGCUCUUUGGGCAGCGUUUGCAGGGUCCCCCCAGCAACCUACCCCCACUGCCCGAAGCGCGAUGUGCCCCCCGAAACAUCCCCAGCCUGAGGGGAGCGGUGCGGCCGAAGCUGUGCUAGUCCGGCUGGGCCCCCUUUUGGGACCCUUCUUCUUGGCUCGCCACCCGAGUACAGGUGGGCCCCAACCCUCCAAGAGUACAGUGCUGAAAAUGAUUUAUCGAAUUAAUUUUUUUAUGUUAGGCGCUAUCGUUGCACAGAAGAAUUAGAGCUGUCAGAUUAACUCAACUGCUAGCGCGUGCUAUCCACGCCAGACGGCUGUAAAUCCUAAUGCCAUUUAAAACCUCAUUAUUUUGUUAGAAUGGAAGAGAAUAUCUGCUUGAGGCUCGGAGGCCCAGGCUUCGUUUCCAACCAGGCUGCCUCUUCGGCGCUGUUGUAUCUUGGCUUCGAACACACCUGAGCUGAAGCGCUGCUUGUGAGUACGUGUCUGAUGGGCCAGGUUUGGUGGCUGUCCAAGUCCACGGAGCAGAAACAUGCUUCGGUUAGUAAAAUACCAAGAUCUCAGCAGGUGGGGACUGUCCCGAUAAUUCGUUCAAUGUUACAUUGAUGGCUAAUGUAGCGUUUGUAUAGACAGACCCAGCCUCAAGGAGAAAAUAAGCUGUGUUACCAGUGUAUUGUUUUUUUUUCUUCACUUUAUUGCAGCUGGGGUUCAAGAUCCAUACUUAGUUUCACAACACGAGAUGGGUAUGGGAAAAUAGCUAGAUGGAUUUGAAAGAGGAACCACAAACACAAGGAAAUUGCAUCCAUCUUGAAACAUACUCAGAGAGAUGGCUUCGGAACAAAUGUCUUCCAGAACUCAGAUAUUUGACAACUAUCCCAGUGCUUCAUUGUUGUGUGUACUUCAACAUGUUCCAUUAGCAGCACAGCCAUAAUCGAGAAAAGUAAGACUGAUCAAAAGGAGGAGUAUUUCUAGGAAAUAAAUCUCAGAAUAAAGCAUAUAUACCCGUGACUGAUGCAAGUGCUUUAAAACUGAAUGUUAGCAGUGGAGAGGAAUAGAUGGCACAUGUUCAAAGCCUGAUAGCUGAUAUUACCUUGAUGGGUUUUUAAGUGUUACAUGCAGCUCUUGACAGGUAAGAAGACAGCCAUGGUCCUCUCAUUAGGAAGAAAGAGACAGUACUACAGAACAAAGCUUCUCAGACUGAAAAUCUCUGGUUAGAUCAAGUAACUUCUUUAAAUGUUGACAUGGGAACUCCAAAGAGAAAAAGGAGAUGAGUGGUGUACCUCUAGAAACAAAGUCCUUUAUAACAGAGCUAUGAGAGCUAGAAGUUAAACAUGGCUUGUCUUACAUUCUCUGACAGUGUUCAAGGUUGGAAGGUAAGAGGACAAAGGGCUUCUGUGUAUGCAUGUCUGCGAUGUGUCCCUGCAAUUGCAGUGACAGUUACUGAACAUAUAUGCACCUGCAUGAAAUGUGUUUGCAGAGUCCCAUUGCAUUAAAAAAUCCAUCAUAUCUGUGGAAUUAGGAUUUGCCCAAGAGUCUUAAAAGCAUUUCUUGGGUAGUUGUUUCUGUUCCAUGUAGUCAUUUCUCUGUAAACCUUGGUGGCAGUUUUCCCCUUUCAGCAAAUACUGGGUUUGAUUUACUUGUUAUUUAGUGCAUACGAGCUUCUAGCAUUGCUAAAUGCUUUUGGCCUUCACUACUGUUUGCUGUUUUUUUUUUGGUUUGGUUUGGUUUUCCCUAUAUAAACAGAGGAAUGAAACAAUUACUUGUUUUGUGGAACGCAUAACUGGUGAUGGUUUUUUGUUGUCUUUUUUGUUUGUGUUUUACCCUUCAGUUCUACUAAUGACAAAGGAAGAGCCCCUUAUGGAAAAGCAGCACAUUACAGAACUCUGAUAACAUUUAAGUGUUGUUUUUGGUUGUUUGUUCGUUUUCUUUAUCCAGGCUAAAAACCCCUAACUUUGCAAUGCAUUUCAUGUAUUUGUCCUGUAGAUCAUAUCUGUCAUGUGCAUGAAGUAGCUGGCAUUUAGAGCCCAUUGCUUUCAGUAAUUCACCAGAUAAAUUCAGUAACUGAAAACAAGGGAGCUGUGAGACUGGGGCUCUUUUUAAAUGUUUUGAAGAGGUAUAACAAAAUGUACCUGCUUUUCAGUGACAUACCGUUAAGCUUAACUAGCUGGUCUCUUUCUAGCUUUGUGCAAGUAGUUAAUGUUUUUUUGUUGUUGUUUUUGUUUGUUAGUUUUUGUUCACACAGUCACAUACCAGAACUGUGUAUGCUACACUUUGUUUCCUGUUAAAAGAGAGUUGGUGGUGUUAUUUGCUUUAAAUUAUAAAAUUUACAAUACUUUCACUGAAAACACAUUCUCUUCCCUUAAUAAAAAGGUCAGAUAGUACAAGUGAACCCCUAAGUCUUUCUCUGGAUGUGUGUUCCUCUUCCAAGACAAUAAGAAAAUCUCUCACGACCCUAGAGAAAUUUCCAUAAGUGAUUUAGGUAUACAUCUGUGAUGUGUAAUGAUACACCUCAGGGAAAUUUAUUUAUAUAUAUUCACAUGCAGUCAUCAAUGCUGCAUUUUUAAUGGUUUAAAAAAAAGCAGUACUCCAAGAGACCAAUUAUGAUCAUUAUACUGAAUUGCUCUGCUACCAAUAAAUAUAGUUGUUUCAUGUGUUUAGCAUUACAUUUUUUUAUAUUUAUAUUGUAGUUUAGUAUACUGUAUGAAUAUAAAGUAAUUGAGAGUUUCAGUCAUUUGUAGUCAAAAAGGCAUGCCCUGAAUGCCUUUUUUUUUUUGCAUAUUUGCACUGUAGUUGCUGAUUUUAGUGAAGAAUCUCAUUAUGCAUUAAUAACAUAAGGAUGUGCAGAGAUGACUUUAAGUCUUUAAAACAAGUUUGAUGUUUUUAGGACAGCUGCCUGAUUCAGCACUGAAAUUUGGGAGUCCAUUCUGCCAUCAUUUUUUUUUUCUUUCCCUUGCAGUUAUCAAAAUGUAAAUUAUAGGGUAUGUUUGCUUCCAGACUCUGUAAAGAAAGCCACAUUUUCAAAUCUGUAUUUUACGUGUGUUUUUUUUGUUUUGUUUUGUUUUUAAAUGCGGUUGCAUUUUACAUGUUCAGUUUGAAAUAAUCAAACUGCCCAUUUCUCCAACCAGUUGAGGUAUCUCUGGAUGACAGCACAACAAUGUGGUGUAUCAGCCACUCCUCCCAGUUUUGUACUGUCUGCACGCUUGCUAAGUGUGCAGUCUGUCCCAUCAUCCAGGUCAUUUGUGAUGGGCUUAAACAGUCCUGGAGGCAGUGUAUCAGCCUCUGGGGUGCAACUCCAGUGCCUGGCCUCCAGCUGGACUUCAUGCUGCUGAUCACAACCCUCUGAGCCUGGUAGUUCAGGCAGUUUUCAGUCCAUCUCACUGUCCAAUUACCUAGUCUGUACUUUGUCAGCUUUCCUGUGAGGGUGUUAUUGGUGGACAGUGUCAUAAGGCUGUCCACUAAGCUGGUCACCUCAUCAUAGAAGGCUAUCAGGUUGGUUAAGCAUGAUUGCCCCCUCAUGAGGAAAGGAAAUGAAAGAUGAAUUCUAACACAAUUAAAAUAAUUAUUGAAGCAGAGUCUGGAAAUAUGAGCUCUCAUUAUAAAAUCUCAACCAAACAGCUAGUCCUCUUUUGUAACACUUGCGUUUUUAAGCUUUGCUUAUUAUUACCACAAUUUGUUUUAAUGCUGACAUUUUUAUAAAUAUGUCUAGGUACACUGACUUGAUUCAUUUAAAACAUACAGAUUUAUUUCUGUUCAGUGUUAAAAGAGGCUAUGGUGUUGUAAUACUGAUUCGUCUCCAUCACUGCUGGAUACAUACAAAACCUUCAGUGUUGGUCUUUAUCUCUUCAAAGCCAGAAAAUUGUAACUUACGAGUAGAAAUGUAACAAUGAAAUGAUUAAAGCAGGGAUUUUUAAAAAUGACAUGCCUAAAGAGAAUUAAAAUGGUAAUGGAUGCCUUCUCUAGACUCCAGGCUGCCUAAGUGAAUGUAAGUGUAUUUGCAGGGUUUCUUUACAACUUUGGAGUGUGAACUUUCAAACCUGCUGUGUAACUAUUCAGAUGCUGAAUCUGUCUGGGAAUGGUAUGAUUAGAAGGCUUUGGGGCAUGCAUAGUGAAAACUAUGCGAAAGGCAAAUUAUUCCUUAUAAAACAGAAUAAAUGUGAUCAUGAGUCUUCUUACCUGUAGAGAAAAAUUCAUAAGUCUGAAGAUGCACUGAAUGGUGCUUUAAUUGUAUAUGCUAGAAAUAGACUGAACAUAGCCUUCCUAUUUGGGAGGGAAAGAAAACAAGCAAUUAGAGGAUGGAUAAUAAUGGUGAGGGCUAUGAAUUAAAGAGUAUCUGCAGUCCAGACCUAGGGAAUCUAGUGAACUCAAUAGGCUUUUUCUGCACCUUCAGUGGCAAUUUGAAGCCUUGAAAUCCUGUGCCAGAAGAGUAACAUUCAUACAAGAAUCUCUAGCCUAGAGAAUUUAAAAACAUAAAUAAAAAAAAAAAACUUAUUUUUUGUGUUUUGCCUUUGAGGCACGUUUAAAUGAGCUUUCUGAGGAUUGAAAGAGACAUUCGCUGGAAAAUGUUAUUCAGGGAAACAUAUUUUUCAAGAAAAACUAAAUUCAUUCAUUUGUUAGGAUUAGAGUAGAAUUUGAGGCAUGGCAGCAGGUGUAAAGAACACCUUGUGGCUGCAGAAUUAUUCUGCCGAUGCUUUGCUUCACAGAUUUCUUCCACAGUCCUUGCAGAAAACUGGUACACAAAAUGGGACUGUUGUAUAACAUUCUUCAGUUACGUAAACCUCAGUUCUAGCAUAGGUGGUCUUGACUAAAUGUAAUGGCAUACUGAUGGCAUUUAAUGGCAUACUGAUGCUGAUGCCCAUAUAGUUAUCUUUCAGAUAGGUGCAGCAAAAGUGUUAAGUACACUUUCGGUUCGUAAAAGGCAAGGAGUUGGAACUUGGUGAAUUAAAGAGAAGCUUGGAAAUGGAAUAUGAAGGGCAAGAAAGUUUAGAAAAGGCAACUGGAUUUUUAAAGGCAAGAUCUGUACAAUAUAUACAUGUUAGGUAUUUAUUCCUUAUAAAAUACAUAUAUGAAGAAUAUUUUUUUUGUUUAUUUUUUGUUUGCUUGUCUGUUUUUUACAGUAGAGCAAUAUAAAUUGCAUAUGGAUGAAUAGCCAAGAGUAGCUUGCAUAACAUGAUAAUAAUAUUUGCUUCUUCCCUUCUCUCUCUACCCUGCUAAUCGAUUUGUGUUUUCCCUGCUGCAUGCCAGGUUCACAUUUGGGUUUUAUUGGUGGAUGUUUUGGGCACUAGUGACAGUAAAUGAUGGCACUUCUUUUCAACAUCUUGCCAUGCAUUUUCACAGAGCAAGGGGAUGAUUGCAGUAGCUUUGGUAUUUGGUACUUCCACAACAGAACUAUAAAACUUCCUAUAAAAGGGAGUAGAUUUCAGCUGCCUUCAGAAAUGGAAGCAAACAUCAUCCUACCUUCCUGGCCUGAUGCUGCCAACCACAGGGCUGUAGGGCAGCUGAGCUACACGGAGCUACCUCCUCUGAUUUCGGUAGGAGUAGCCCAUCCUUCACUGAGUUCCACCUCCACAAGACAGGACCAACAAAGUAUUUCCUCUGCUCCCAUACAGCAAAAGUAGAACUAUAAUGAUUUAUUUAACUUGCAGAUCAGUCUGCUGUUCUUAACGGUGUAUACUUGCUAUUGCUAGUCUUACUGCCUCGGUUUUCAUGUUGAUCUUGAUUCAGUGUUUAUUGAUCUAAGUAAUUUCAAAAGCUGAAAAAGUGAAGUUGAUUUUCAUCUGCCUUCCACUAACAUUAUCCAGAAUUCAUUGUUCCUCUGAAGAAGUUACCCACUUAUUGGCACAACACUUUGAAUAGAAACAAACAAACAAAAAAAGUUUCCUAGUGUAUUUGCUGGACUGUUUGCUUUCAAGUUUGAACUACUGAGAAAGAAUCAAAUUAGGGCUCAACAAUGACAGCAUUAUUAAUAUUCUUGUAUUGUCAUCUAUCUCCUCAAGUGAAGCAGCUUUUAUGCAGUUUUAGAAAUCGACAUUUUGAGUUGGGAACAGAUUUUAUGUCUCUCAAGUUACUUUUAAAUUCUUUUUUAAAAGUCUAAAAAUUCAAACAUUAUUCUUGUGCACUCCCUGUUUCAUUUGCAAAUACUGAAUGAUGGUAAGUCAUUUUUCUGUGAUAGACCAUCUCUGGUAUUGUUACUAAAAUGAUAGCUGUAUAUCAUAUUUAAGAUUACAAAAGCUUUUAAGACCUUUUAAGACUUCUGAGAGCCUUUCUGUGAAUUAAUGCCAGCCUGUUCAGAACAAGCAGAAAAGAAUCUUGAGGUCAUUAAAAAGACUUCCCCUAUCCAACAUAAGCUUAUGUCUGUUAAAAUGUAUCAGAUAUCUUCUCUCAGGCUCAUUGUUUUUUCCAAAUGUAAUUGUUCAGGACUGCGAGUGAUCUCAGUCACGUGUCUGUCAAGGUAGUGUCUUUUCCCUGAUUUCAUAAUUGGACCAAGAUGCAGUCUGUAGUGAAUCAGCCAUGAUUCACCACACCAAGUCUACUUUUUUUUUUUCUUCUUCUGGAACAAUUAAAUUGGCCAUCAGUUAUCAAAUGUUCUCCUUACCAUAGAGCAUUGUUAAUUAGAAUUAAA